UACGUAGGGGGCGAGCGUUGUCCGGACUCAUUGGGCGUAAAGAGCUCGUAGGCGGCUUGGCAAGUCGGAUGUGAAAACUCCAGGCUCAACCUGGAGCCGCCAUUCGAUACUGCUAUGGCUAGAGUCCGGUAGGGGAGUGUGGAAUUCCCGGUGUAGCGGUGAAAUGCGCAGAUAUCGGGAGGAACACCGAUGGCGAAGGCAGCACUCUGGGCCGGUACUGACGCUGAGGAGCGAAAGCGUGGGGAGCGAACAGG
rnacentral:rRNA from 1 species